rnacentral:lncRNA from 1 species
CUCUGACAAGAGUGGUGUUGUGCUAUCUAUAGGGAUCACUCGUGGUUAAGUAAUAUCAUGACUAUAGAUAUCUGUUAGGGCCACUAUGGCUGGUACGGCCGUGGUCAUAGAUCGUACCAUGAUUUGGCCAGCCGAAAAUGGGCCUGAGCAAAUUUUUAUAUUUAUAUCUGAUUUGGUCAUUCAACUUGGGUAGUUUAAAAUCUGUAUCUACCCUCAGAGAUGGAAGUUAUAACGACUUCAUGAAACAUGACAAAAAAAUUUGUG